rnacentral:tmRNA from 1 species
GGGGAUGACAGGUUUCGACGGGGAAGGUUGUUCCUGCACUGCAAGUCGAGCACGCUUUACACCUCGUAAAACUGGAAGCAAAAAAUAAGUGCAAACCGCACGACAACCUACAACGCUCUCCCGUUGGCUGCCUAAACCAGCCACAGGGUAGCGGAGAGUCCAAAACGGACUUGCGUCUGCCAGGGUCGUUCGUUGACCGGGUCUGCGUCAGGCGACAGAAAUGUCAACGUGCUACGCCGCGAUACUCAUAGCGGUGGGUAAGUGUCCUUUUGGGGACGAUGAGUUAGCCAGCGUCGCACCCAGUUAACCGGGGACGCGCCGGCGAAAAGCAAAUAGGUUAGCUAAACUUGUAGACGUGUAGAGGACGAAUUUUUCGGACGCGGGUUCGAUUCCCGCCAUCUCCACUG